rnacentral:rRNA from 1 species
AAAGCAGGAGCAAUCUUGUGAGUAAAGUGGCGUACGGGUGAGUAACACGUGGAUUAUCUACCUUCUAGUGGGGGAUAACCCUGGGAAACCGGGGCUAAUACCGCAUAAGCUCGAGAGAGGAAAGCAGCAAUGCGCUGGAAGAGGAGUCCGCGGCCGAUUAUGCUAGUUGGUAGGGUAAAAGCCUACCAAGGCUAAGAUCGGUAGCCGGCCUGAGAGGGCACACGGCCACACUGGCACUGAAACACGGGCCAGACUCCUACGGGAGGCAGCAGUGGGGAAUCUUGCACAAUGGGGGCAACCCUGAUGCAGCGACGCCGCGUGAGCGAUGAAGCCCUUCGGGGUGUAAAGCUCUUUCGGCAGGGAAGAUUAUGACGGUACCUGCAGAAGCAGCUGCGGCUAACUACGUGCCAGCAGCCGCGGUAAUACGUAGGCAGCAAGCGUUGUUCGGAGUUACUGGGCGUAAAGGGUGUGUAGGCGGUCUACUAAGUCUGGUGUGAAAUCUCCCGGCUCAACUGGGAGGGUGCGCCGGAAACUGGAAGGCUAGAGUGCGGGAUGGGAGAGUGGAAUUCCUGGUGUAGCGGUGAAAUGCGUAGAUAUCAGGAGGAACACCUGUGGUGUAGACGGCUCUCUGGACCGCAACUGACGCUGAGACACGAAAGCGUGGGUAGCAAACAGGAUUAGAUACCCUGGUAGUCCACGCCCUAAACGAUGCAUAUUUGGUGUGGGCCAUUCAUUUGGUCUGUGCCGGAGCUAACGCGUUAAAUAUGCCGCCUGGGGAGUACGGUCGCAAGGCUGAAACUC